rnacentral:misc_RNA from 1 species
GAAAUGCGAUAAGUAAUGUGAAUUGCAGAGUCCAGUGAAUCAUCGAAUCUUUGAACGCACAUUGCGCCCCCUGGUACUCCGGAGGGCAUGCCUGUCUGAGAGUCAUCGCACACCAACUCGGGCCCAGUUGCCCGGUCCUGGGGACGGUCGGCCACCACGGCCGGCCUCCCCGAAAGCCAGCGGACCAUGUCGAACGGGACGGCGAGCCCAACGCUCUGAUUCGCUCGACGAGCACAGCGUACGGGCCGCGCACCCGCGGACGAGUCCGACCCCGCACCGACGGGGAGACCACGCAAGUCUUGACCUCAGAUCAGGUAGGGAUACCCGCUGAACUUAA